rnacentral:ncRNA from 2 species
UAAUAACGCCUGUUGUUAGGUGCCGGAUUGCAUUUCUGCAAUCCGGUGAAACUGGGAAACAGGUGCAUUGUGUUUUACGCAAUUAUUCCUGUGCUGCCCCCGCAACGGUAAGUGAUUUGAGAUUUACCACAUGCCACUGAGCUACAUUCGCUUGGGAAGGCGUAAAUCAGAUUGUCACAAGCCCGGAGACCGGCCUACACAACAUACGCUCA